AAUUGAGAUGAAUUAAAUUAAAUAGUGGGAUGAAAAGUGAUCCCACUGCCACAUGGCCAAUUCUAAUUGGCCCAUGCUUUAGUAGGGGACAUCUAGUCACCUUGGGCAGCACACAUGGUCUUCAUUUUGACCAAAAUAGCAGCCAAAAACGUGUCCCAACUCCAUAAUGUUCAAGAAAGAGAGAGAAUUCCUCAUCUUCUCCAAAUUUCCUAAACUUUUGAGAAAGAAAGAAUAGAGAGAAGUAACGAGAUAGAGAGGCGGACAAGCUUGAGAGUGAGGGAGAAAUUGAGGGAUUAAGUGUGGUGAUUAUUCAAGGUUAUGGAAGCAAGGAUGGAUCCAUUAGAGAAGCAAAAAAAACGUUUUUGACCAAGCCCUCAAAUUUUCAAGCAAAUUGUUUCAUAAAAGCCUAAGGUAUGAGGCAGCAUAUACAUGUUGUGUGUGAAUAAACACUAAAGGUACCAAAAUUUGAUUUGCUGAUCCGCCGGUUUAGGACAUCUGCUGUGUUAUUGACAGUGCUCCCUUGUUCGGAGCUUGUAUUUUGGUACUGACUUUAUCUCUGUAUAUUUGAAUAUGUUGGUCAGGGGUACGACGGGGCCCUGUCCCAUCAUAUGGCUAUGCUAUCAUCUGUAGAGGUCUGUAGACAGAGUUAUGUUGUGGGUUUUGUAUAUAUGGUUUGGGUUUUGUGUAUUUUGUGACGGUCUAUCAACCCUCGUGCCUAUAUCUACUUUUAUGAUAUAUUUAGUAAUUUCUUCUAAUCACUACAUAUGUUUAUUCGAUUAAAAAGGCUAAUUUGGGAUUAGGGUAUGUUUGGGUGCCCAACUCGGGCACCAGUCGCGGCCUACGGGGUUGGGUCGUGACAAAAGUGGUAUCAGAGCGGUUUGGUCCUCGGAAUGUCUACAGACCGUGUCUAGUAGAGUCUUGUUUAUCGGUGUGUUGUGCACCACAUCUAUAAACAGGAGGUUACAGGACAUUUAGGAUGUUUCAUUUCUUUCAUAUCUAAGAUCGUGUGAUAGAGCCCAACAAUAGGACAUGCAAUUCUUUUUCUAACCUUUAAUAUCAGUUGAAAAAUGGCAUCGAUAAAAGAAAGUGACUGAUGAUAUUGGAAGCUACACAGUAUACAGGUAAGUAAUGGUGCGAAGGAGGCAUGCUGGAUAAGGUAAGAAUAUUGUAACAUGAUUGAUAUGUAAAGUUAAAAAUUGAUAGGAAAAGUAGAUAGGAAAGUGUAACGGAUGCAGUUCGAGUUGGACAUACGAGGUAAGUCCAUCAUUUUCAUACUGUUGUUGAUAUUGGGCGCCCUGUGUGGUUGAGAUAUGAUAUGAUAUGAAUAUAUAUAUGUUGGCCCUGUGAGGCAUUGUUGGUAUUUUAUGCGUGCAGAUUUUGGGAUAGUAUGAAAUACAGAGG